rnacentral:SRP_RNA from 1 species
ACUGGGUGUGGUGGCACAUGCCUGUAGUCCCAGCUACUCGGGAGACUGAGGUAGGAGGAUUACUUGAGCCCAGGAGUUCUGGGCUGUAAUUUACUAUGCCGAUCGGGUGUCCACACUAAGUUCAACAUCAAUAUGGUGACCUCCUGGGAUCAGGGACCACCAGAUUGCCUAAGGAGGGGUGAACCAGCCCAGGUCGGAAAUGGAGCAGGUCAAAACUCCUGUGCUGAUCAGUAGUGGGAUCACGCCUAUGAAUAGCCAAUGCACUCCAGCCUGAGCAACAUAGCGAGACCCCAUCUCU